rnacentral:rRNA from 1 species
UACAGAGGUCUCAAGCGUUGUUCGGAUUCAUUGGGCGUAAAGGGCGCGUAGGCGGCUUUGUAAGUCACUUGUGCAAUCUCUGAGCUUAACUCAGAACGGCCAAGUGAUACUGCAAUGCUAGAGUAUUGGAGGGGCAAUCGGAAUUCUUGGUGGAGCGGUGAAAUGCGUAGAGAUCAAGAGGAACACCUGAGGUGAAGACGGGUUGCUGGCCAAAUACUGACGCUGAGGCGCGAAAGCCAGGGGAGCAAACGGG